rnacentral:rRNA from 1 species
AACGAACGCUGGCGGCAGGCUUAACACAUGCAAGUCGAGCGCCCCGCAAGGGGAUCGGCAGACGGGUGAGUAACGCGGGGGAACGUACCUUUUGGUUCGUAACAACUCCGGGAAACUGGAGCUAAUACCGGAUAAGUCCUAACGGGGAAAGAUUUAUCGCCGAAAGAUCGGCCCGUGUCUGAUUAGAUAGUUGGUUGGGUAACGGCGCACCAAGGCGACGAUCGGUAGCUGGUCUGAGAGGCUGAUCAGACACACUGUGACUGAGACACGGUCCAGAAUCCUACGGGAGGCAGCAGUGGGGAAUAUUGGAAAACGGGGGCAAGGCUGAAGCAGCCAUGCCGCGUGAGUGCUGAAGGCCUUAGGGUUGUAAAGCACUUUUGUCCGGGAAGAUAAUGACUGUACCGGAAGAAUAAGCCCCGGCUAACUUCGUG